GAUGAACGCUAGCUACACGCUUAACACAUGCAAGUCGAGGGGCAUCAGGAAGAAAGCUUGCUUUCUUUGCUGGCGACCGGCGCACGGGUGAGUAACACGUAUCCAACCUGCCCUUUACUCGGGGAUAGCCUUUCGAAAGAAAGAUUAAUACCCGAUAGUAUAAUGAUUCCGCAUGGUUUCAUUAUUAAAGGAUUCCGGUAAAGGAUGGGGAUGCGUUCCAUUAGGUUGUUGGUGAGGUAACGGCUCACCAAGCCUUCGAUGGAUAGGGGUUCUGAGAGGAAGGUCCCCCACAUUGGAACUGAGACACGGUCCAAACUCCUACGGGAGGCAGCAGUGAGGAAUAUUGGUCAAUGGGCGCUAGCCUGAACCAGCCAAGUAGCGUGAAGGAUGAAGGCUCUAUGGGUCGUAAACUUCUUUUAUAUAAGAAUAAAGUGCAGUAUGUAUACUGUUUUGUAUGUAUUAUAUGAAUAAGGAUCGGCUAACUCCGUGCCAGCAGCCGCGGUAAUACGGAGGAUCCGAGCGUUAUCCGGAUUUAUUGGGUUUAAAGGGAGCGUAGGUGGACUGGUAAGUCAGUUGUGAAAGUUUGCGGCUCAACCGUAAAAUUGCAGUUGAUACUGUCAGUCUUGAGUACAGUAGAGGUGGGCGGAAUUCGUGGUGUAGCGGUGAAAUGCUUAGAUAUCACGAAGAACUCCGAUUGCGAAGGCAGCUCACUGGACUGCAACUGACACUGAUGCUCGAAAGUGUGGGUAUCAAACAGG
rnacentral:rRNA from 1 species